rnacentral:hammerhead_ribozyme from 1 species
GCACUGCUAACGAGUCCCAAACAGGACGAAACAGCUGCCCAGUGC